UCCGUAGGUGAACCUGCGGAAGGAUCAUUACCGAGUUCAUGCCCUUCGGGGUAGAUCUCCCACCCUUUGUAUACUAUACCUUUGUUGCUUUGGCGGGCCGCCUAGCUACUGGCUUCGGCUGGUAAGUGCCCGCCAGAGAACCCAAAACCCUGAAUUAUUAGUGUCGUCUGAGUAAAAUAUUUAAUAUUUAAAACUUUCAACAACGGAUCUCUUGGCUCUGGCAUCGAUGAAGAACGCAGCGAAAUGCGAUAAGUAAUGUGAAUUGCAGAAUUCAGUGAAUCAUCGAAUCUUUGAACGCACAUUGCGCCCCUUGGUAUUCCGAGGGGCAUGCCUAUUCGAGCGUCAUUAUCACCCCUCAAGCCUAGCUUGGUGUUGAGACCUGCUGUCAAGGCAGUCUCUAAAAUCAGUGGCAGUGCUGUCAGGCUCUAAGCGUAGUAAAUUCAUCGCUAUAGACACCUGGUGGCCACUCGCCAGAACCCCCCCAUUUUUUAAUGAUUGACCUCGGAUUAGGUAGGGAUACCCGCUGAACUUAAGCAUAUCAAUAAGCGGGAGGA
rnacentral:rRNA from 1 species